UGCUGUUUUAAUUCCACAAAAGCUUUGUGAAUUCGGCUUAACGGAGCUCCCUGCACAACAGCCCUGUGCCACGCAGAAGCAAGGGAGGUUCCUCUCAAGUGGUCACAGGUUUAACGUCUGGGUUUUUGUCAGCGGGAUUUGAUUUCAUUUUUCCUCUCUCCACCAUUUGGAGAAGCCUUUGGCUGGAGAUAUUAUAAAAGAGAUGUUUUUUUUUUUUUUUUUUUUUUUUUUUUUUAAUGGUAACGCUUAACUGGAAAGACUGGGAGGAAGACAAAGCUACACAGGGACCAAAGGAGUGUCUUCAGAUGAAAUGUAAUCAUGUGACUCAAGGCAGAAGCAGGCAAGACGUCUGGAAGGGACUUGAACAUUUAUGCCUCAGUGCUGCUGCUUGACUUCCUCCAGAGAAGGGAGAGCAUGCUUGGAUGUUUGCCAAAAGGGAGAUCACAGUUCUUUCUAAUGCAGACCUUGCAAGGCCUAGCACAAGGCAAAGACACUUGAGCACUGGAAUAGUUUCUUGGAGACUCUGAUGGCUCUUCUGCAUAUGAAUCAAAAAGAUUGAAAAAGACCACCAAGAUCAUCUCGUCCAACCGUUAAACCCAUUGACCUAUUCUCUUUUCACUCUGUCUCAUUUUAAAAACCUUCAUUUACUCCGUAACCCUCUUACCAGGACCUGUGUAGAUGUCAUAUAUUCACAGCCCUGGACUCAGACCAGAAAGAACCUGAGGACAAACAUGCUUACUUCGCUGCAAGCGCCAGCCCCACGUGGGCUGCCCACUGCUGGAGAUGUGUGCACCCAAACCACGUUGCCACAAUCCCCAAAGUUUUUUGCACCACCACUAUUUCUCUGCAAAUCCUUAAGCUGCACCAGCUGACUCCGCCAAACAAAUUAUUUUACAUUUUUUAACUGAAAUGCUUUUUGUUUUUAUUUUAAUGAAUCCCCUAACUCCGAGUUUAAUUAAACUCAUGUUUUUUAAUUAAUUACCAACAAAUGCAAAUAAGGGAAACUACACAAACAUGUAUUCACCGUUCACAGAUAGAUACAGUUGUUGUUUUUUUUAAUCCUCAAG
rnacentral:lncRNA from 1 species